rnacentral:rRNA from 1 species
UACGUAGGGUGCAAGCGUUUGUCCGGAAUUAUUGGGCGUAAAGAGCUCGUAGGCGGUCUGUCGCGUCUGCUGUGAAAACUCAGGGCUUAACCCCUGAGCUUGCAGUGGGGUACGGGCAGACUAGAGUGCGGUAGGGGAGACUGGAAUUCCUGGUGUAGCGGUGAAAUGCGCAGAUAUCAGGAGGAACACCGGUGGGCGAAGGCGGGGUCUCUGGGGCCGUAAACUGACGCUGAGGAGCGAAAAGCAUGGGGGAGCAACGGACUA